UAAAGAAAAUUAGCUAAUUGCUUUUAAAUCUGAAAUUAACUCAGUAAUUCAUCGUAAUUUAAAAUCAUUCAUAACCGUACAGAAUGAUUUUGAAACGAUCGCAAAAAGUUAAAGUACUUGAGCAUGCGUAAUGUCGGGUGCCUUUGCAUAGCCCAGUGGUUAGGGCGUUGGACAAUCCCACAUGAAAACCCGGGUUCGAGUCUCUCUCUGGCCCUAUUGGUUUCUCCUCUCUUUCUCUCCUCUCUUCUGUCUUUCCUCUCUUAAUGAAAUAUUGUAAACAAGCAUUGCUUGUAAAAAUGAAUAUGUAAUAUGAUACACACUUGUAGUUCGCACAUGCAGCGAACAGUGUCGCCACUUGGCGCACACCCCAUUUGAUUACCAAUAAACUUGCAUUUCUAGACUCCUGUUUGUUUCAAUAUUUUUAAGAAACAAGAACAAAAAAUGUUGUUAGUUCUUGAAACUAAAGACAAGAACAAGAACAGUACAAAUUGGGACAAAAAAUUAGAGGAACAAAACCCUAAUAUCGGGAACAAUUUAUGGAAUUGAAAGCCUCUAAUCCAGCAAAAUGCUAUUAAUCAAGCGAUAAUUUGUUUUCCAUUGUCAAUAUCUUCCCUAUAGUUGGAAAGUGAAAGCUGAGAAACGAAACAAAAGCUUCUGUAUUUUUGUCAACUUUAAACUUUCUUUGGUUUCGUUAAUUUGUAAGUAAUUUUUCUUAAUUAUCGAUUAGCAAAUCUUCUUGGCCGUUAAUUGUCAAAGUAAAACAGUUUUGAUAUGAUAAAAAUUAGACACAAACUUGUGAUAUCUUUUCUGGUUGUAGUUGAACGACUAAACUGUAUAACUUGACGAUUAUUGCUUUUGUAUCUUCUGCUAUUUCAUUUCAUAUUUCAAACAAAUUGACUAUAAUUGUAAAUGUUAGGGCCAAUAUUUUGAUUGACCUCUAAUUAACAGUGUUGACAGUUUGUUUUUAACAAUUAAGAGUCGUUUGUCAGGCCUUUGACUUCUCAGUGAGUAAAAAUCCUGCCGAGAAAUGUUUAAUGAUGGAUCAACCAUGGAAGAGGUUGAAGCUAUCUUUGAUAACAGUUAAUGUGCCAAGUGAAUCUUGUUCAAUCUUAUUUCAACAGUGAAAGUAACAAUCAAGGAGAAACAUUCUUUGGUGCUAAGGAGCAAAAUACUGUUAAUUAACCGUAAUUGUCUUUGAUCGCCCUUCUGAGAUUCAGAGAAGAUGGAGAAAAGAAGAAGAAAAAUCAACUCUGCCAAGAACAUUACAGAUGAAUAAUUUGGAAGCCUUUCUUGUCUACUGUUAACCAAAUCAACAUGCAACAACAAAACGAUGAUAGGAACAAAAAAGGACGAUUAAUGGUAGCCGAUUGAUGAUGAAGGACAUGACCUAGAGUCAGAUAAUGAUCACCAAUUUUAGUAUAACUAUUCCAAUGGAUUGGAGUAUAUUGACCUGACCAUCUCUUAUUGGGUUUCUUUAUUAAUAACCAUCUUGGACGGACUCAAGCAUUAUUUGGAAGUUAAUACCAUUGAUUGAUAUUUGACAGUUAAUGCGUGAUUGCCUUGUUAAUAUUGAAACUCUUGAAACUUGAGGGGACAACCAGGAGUCAAUGGAUGAAGGGCAAAGAAAUGCUUUGAUCAAUUGUGUGGCUAAUAAUAUCGAUAAGGAAAUAUUCACAGAUUGUCUGACCUUUGUGCCAUGUAGCUUAUUAGAUUGAAGAUUAUCCUUUGGCUAACCUUUGGAGGGCCAAUGUUUUGGAGAGAAAUGACAAAACCUGACUGUUGAUAAAGCCAAAGAUGAAACUUCAUUUUAACCACUUUCCUCAGAGUCUCUCAAUGAGUUACUAAAAAUCCUGCUGAAACGAUGAAGCCACUUGAAACAUCUUUGGCGUAAAUCAACUAAACAAAGGGCAAAGUAAAACUAACAGCGAAAGAUUGAACCAAAUAAUCAAUCAUCGAAAUUUCAAAUCAAAGUUUGGCUCACAGUUUACGUCAAUCGUUCAAUUGGAUCUGUUCAAAAAGAGUGCAAUGAAAUGCAGGAAAUCUUGAAGAAAAGUGAAAUUUCAUCUUGAAAUGUAAAUCUAUCUGUUGAUUGAAACACUAAACAAAUCUCACAAUUACAAUGCAAAAUUCACAUUUACAUUGAAAAAUCCUGAAAAUUUCCUGAUAUUGUGGAUAAACUUUUUUACUCAUCUUAAUCUGGUUCAACAUAAAGCAUCCAGCCAACGAUUCCUUGGAAGCAUUACUUUACAUAACUUUACACAAAACAACAAUUUACUCUUAAAUCCCUUACAAAUUAAUGCAGUGCAAAUUAUAUUAAAUGUUAAUUAUAAAUAUA